AAAUGCUAACCACAGAGGGAGAGGCAGCAAGAGGAGAGGCAUAAAUUCAGGAUCUCACCCUUCAUUCCACAAACACACACAGGCUCUCCGUGCACCUCUGCUUCCUCUAGGAAUACAGGAGUCCAGAUCACAUCGAGUUCACCAUGAAUUCACUCAGUGAAGCCAACACCAAGUUCAUGUUCGAUCUGUUCCAACAGUUCAGAAAAUCACAAAAGAACAACACCUUCUAUUCCCCUAUCAGCAUCACAACAGCAUUGGGGAUGGUCCUCUUAGGGGCCAAAGACAACACUGCACAACAAAUUAACAAGGUUCUUCACUUCGAUCAAGUCCCAGAGAACACCACAGAAAAAGCUGCAACACAUCACGUGAGUCACAGAGCACUUUGGUUCAGCUUUAGAUCCCUGAGCAGGUCAUAGUUUAAACCUGGAACUUCACAGAAACUAAGUAAAGGCCAUUCUUAGGGGAAAGCCUGGAUGAAAAGAUUGAGACAUACAGAGUGGGUUGGCAUUUCAUGGCACAGAAUUAUUAUUCCUUGUUUUUGCAUUACUGAAAGACAGUCAGCCCUGUACUUCAGAGCAUAGGUCUGGAUCAGGAUAGGGUGGGUUCAAAUUGCAGCUUUGCUCUUCACAAAUGGUGAACAGGAGCAUGACACAACUGCUCAGAGACCCAGUGACCUCAUCCCAGAAAAGUAGGGGUAAUAAAAAAUCUGACUCAAUACAUGCAAAUACAUGCAAAUAUUUAUAACAGUGCCCUGCCCAUAAAAAGUCAUAAUAAAUGUUAUUGUUAUUAUAAAAUAGCUAUAAUUAUACUAAUCACAAAAAUGUUACAAAAAUACUUUAAUUUUAAUUGAGUCAUUAAUGAGAUUAAGAGGAAUAAGCACAAGUCCAAGUAUAUUUUGGAAAAUGAUUUCUAUGGAAUAUAUUGGUUUAGAGACUUAAUAGUGCAAAAUGCUUCCUGGAAAGUAGAAGUUUCUAGAUUUAACAGGCUUAGGUUCAAAACUUGGCAUUUCUAAUUUACGUCUCUAUAAAGAGGUUUAUUUUCCAUUCUCUGAGCUUUCUUGUUUUCACCCGAAUUGAACUAAAGACUUAGAGUUACCCAUGUAAAGUCCUUAGCCAUCUACCUGACACACACUGUUGUUACUUGCAGAGAAUGACAAUCAUGAGGAAAGAACCAUAGAUCAGUCAUUGUGUCUUACAAGAUGAUACCACCAACAGGUAUAACAGGGCUUCCUGGCAUAAUCUAUUUAAGAUAUCCAAACUUCAACAUACUCAUAUC